GCCAGGCAUGGUGGUUCAUGCCUGUAAUCCCAGCACUUUGGGAGGCUGAGGUGGGUGGAUCACCUGAGGUCAGGAGUUUGAGACCAGCCUGGCCAACAUGGUGAAACCCCAUCUCUA
ensembl:misc_RNA Metazoa_SRP Metazoan signal recognition particle RNA